rnacentral:rRNA from 1 species
UACGUAGGGGGCGAGCGUUGUCCGGAAUUAUUGGGCGUAAAGGGUGCGCAGGUUGUUUGAUAAGUCAGUGGUGAAAGUCUGUCGCUUAACGGUAGGAUUGCCAUUGAUACUGUUGGACUUGAAUAUGGAUGAGGUAGGCGGAAUGUGUAGUGUAGCGGUGAAAUGCAUAGAUAUUACACAGAACACCGAUUGCGAAGGCAGCUUACUAAUCCAUCAUUGACGCUGAGGCACGAAAGCGUGGGGAUCAAACAGGA